AUGCAAGUCGAACGAACUCUGGUAUUGAUUGGUGCUUGCAUCAUGAUUUACAUUUGAGUGAGUGGCGAACUGGUGAGUAACACGUGGGAAACCUGCCCAGAAGCGGGGGAUAACACCUGGAAACAGAUGCUAAUACCGCAUAACAACUUGGACCGCAUGGUCCGAGCUUGAAAGAUGGCUUCGGCUAUCACUUUUGGAUGGUCCCGCGGCGUAUUAGCUAGAUGGUGGGGUAACGGCUCACCAUGGCAAUGAUACGUAGCCGACCUGAGAGGGUAAUCGGCCACAUUGGGACUGAGACACGGCCCAAACUCCUACGGGAGGCAGCAGUAGGGAAUCUUCCACAAUGGACGAAAGUCUGAUGGAGCAACGCCGCGUGAGUGAAGAAGGGUUUCGGCUCGUAAAACUCUGUUGUUAAAGAAGAACAUAUCUGAGAGUAACUGUUCAGGUAUUGACGGUAUUUAACCAGAAAGCCACGGCUAACUACGUGCCAGCAGCCGCGGUAAUACGUAGGUGGCAAGCGUUGUCCGGAUUUAUUGGGCGUAAAGCGAGCGCAGGCGGUUUUUUAAGUCUGAUGUGAAAGCCUUCGGCUCAACCGAAGAAGUGCAUCGGAAACUGGGAAACUUGAGUGCAGAAGAGGACAGUGGAACUCCAUGUGUAGCGGUGAAAUGCGUAGAUAUAUGGAAGAACACCAGUGGCGAAGGCGGCUGUCUGGUCUGUAACUGACGCUGAGGCUCGAAAGUAUGGGUAGCAAACAGGAUUAGAUACCCUGGUAGUCCAUACCGUAAACGAUGAAUGCUAAGUGUUGGAGGGUUUCCGCCCUUCAGUGCUGCAGCUAACGCAUUAAGCAUUCCGCCUGGGGAGUACGGCCGCAAGGCUGAAACUCAAAGGAAUUGACGGGGGCCCGCACAAGCGGUGGAGCAUGUGGUUUAAUUCGAAGCUACGCGAAGAACCUUACCAGGUCUUGACAUACUAUGCAAAUCUAAGAGAUUAGACGUUCCCUUCGGGGACAUGGAUACAGGUGGUGCAUGGUUGUCGUCAGCUCGUGUCGUGAGAUGUUGGGUUAAGUCCCGCAACGAGCGCAACCCUUAUUAUCAGUUGCCAGCAUUAAGUUGGGCACUCUGGUGAGACUGCCGGUGACAAACCGGAGGAAGGUGGGGAUGACGUCAAAUCAUCAUGCCCCUUAUGACCUGGGCUACACACGUGCUACAAUGGAUGGUACAACGAGUUGCGAACUCGCGAGAGUAAGCUAAUCUCUUAAAGCCAUUCUCAGUUCGGAUUGUAGGCUGCAACUCGCCUACAUGAAGUCGGAAUCGCUAGUAAUCGCGGAUCAGCAUGCCGCGGUGAAUACGUUCCCGGGCCUUGUACACACCGCCCGUCACACCAUGAGAGUUUGUAACACCCAAAGUCGGUGGGGUAACCUUUUAGGAACCAGCC
rnacentral:rRNA from 2 species